rnacentral:rRNA from 1 species
GACGAACGCUGGCGGCGUGCCUAAUAUAUGCAAGUAGAACGCUGAAGCUUGGUGCUUGCACCGAGCGGAUGAGUUGCGAACGGGUGAGUAACGCGUAGGUAACCUGCCUGGUAGCGGGGGAUAACUAUUGGAAACGAUAGCUAAUACCGCAUAAGAGUAGAUGUUGCAUGACAUUUGCUUAAAAGGUGCAAUUGCAUCACUACCAGAUGGACCUGCGUUGUAUUAGCUAGUUGGUGAGGUAACGGCUCACCAAGGCAACGAUACAUAGCCGACCUGAGAGGGUGAUCGGCCACACUGGGACUGAGACACGGCCCAGACUCCUACGGGAGGCAGCAGUAGGGAAUCUUCGGCAAUGGACGGAAGUCUGACCGAGCAACGCCGCGUGAGUGAAGAAGGUUUUCGGAUCGUAAAGCUCUGUUGUAAGAGAAGAACGAGUGUGAGAGUGGAAAGUUCACACUGUGACGGUAUCUUACCAGAAAGGGACGGCUAACUACGUG